rnacentral:rRNA from 1 species
AACGAACGCUGGCGGCAUGCCUAACACAUGCAAGUCGAACGAGACCUUCGGGUCUAGUGGCGCACGGGUGCGUAACGCGUGGGAAUCUGCCCUUCGGUUGGGAAUAACUGAGAGAAAUUUCAGCUAAUACCUUAUAAUGUCUUCGGACCAAAGAUUUAUCGCCGAGGGAUGAGCCCGCGUAGGAUUAGGUAGUUGGUGGGGUAAUGGCCUACCAAGCCGACGAUCCUUAGCUGGUCUGAGAGGAUGAUCAGCCACACUGGGACUGAGACACGGCCCAGACUCCUACGGGAGGCAGCAGUGGGGAAUAUUGGACAAUGGGCGAAAGCCUGAUCCAGCAAUGCCGCGUGAGUGAUGAAGGCCUUAGGGUUGUAAAGCUCUUUUACCCGGGAUGAUAAUGACAGUACCGAGAGAAUAAGCUCCGGCUAACUCCG